UACGGAGGAUGCAAGCGUUAUCCGGAAUGAUUGGGCGUAAAGCGUCCGCAGGUGGCAAUGUAAGUCUGCUGUCAAAGCGUCUGGCUCAACCAGAUAAAGGCAGUGGAAACUACAUAGCUAGAGUAAGGUAGGGGUAGAGGGAAUUCCUGGUGUAGCGGUGAAAUACGUAGAGAUCAGGAAGAACACCGGUGGCGAAAGCGCUCUGCUGGACCUAAACUGACACUGAGGGACGAAAGCUAGGGGAGCGAAUGGG
rnacentral:rRNA from 1 species